UACGUAGGGUGCGAGCGUUGUCCGGAAUUACUGGGCGUAAAGAGCUUGUAGGUGGUUUGUCGCGUUGUUCGUGAAAUCUCACGGCUCAACUGUGAGCGUGCGGGGCGAUACGGGCAGACUAGAGUACUGCAGGGGAGACUGGAAUUCCUGGUGUAGCGGUGGAAUGCGCAGAUAUCAGGAGGAACACCGGUGGCGAAGGCGGGUCUCUGGGCAGUAACUGACGCUGGAGAAGCGGAAAGCGUGGGGAGCGAACAGG
rnacentral:rRNA from 1 species